GAUGAACGCUGACAGAAUGCUUAACACAUGCAAGUCGACUCGAGUCUUCGGACUUGGGUGGCGCACGGGUGAGUAACGCGUAAAGAACUUGCCUCUUAGACCGGGACAACAUCUGGAAACGGAUGCUAAUACCGGAUAUUAUGGUUUUUUCGCAUGGAGGAAUCAUGAAAGCUGGAUGCGCUAAGAGAGAGCUUUGCGUCCCAUUAGCUAGUUGGUGAGGUAACGGCCCACCAAGGCAAUGAUGGGUAGCCGGCCUGAGAGGGUGAACGGCCACAAGGGGACUGAGACACGGCCCUUACUCCUACGGGAGGCAGCAGUGGGGAAUAUUGGACAAUGGACCGCAAGUCUGAUCCAGCAAUUCUGUGUGCACGAUGACGUUUUUCGGAAUGUAAAGUGCUUUCAGUCGGGAAGAAGUCAGUGACGGUACCGACAGAAGAAGCGACGGCUAAAUACGUGCCAGCAGCCGCGGUAAUACGUAUGUCGCAAGCGUUAUCCGGAUUUAUUGGGCGUAAAGCGCGUCUAGGCGGCAAGGAAAGUCUGAUGUGAAAAUGCGGAGCUCAACUCCGUAUGGCGUUGGAAACUGCCUUACUAGAGUACUGGAGAGGUAGGCGGAACUACUAGUGUAGAGGUGAAAUUCGUAGAUAUUUGUAGGAAUGCCGAUGGGGAAGCCAUCCUACUGUACAGAUACUGACUCUAAAGCUCGAAAGCGUGUGUAGCAAACAUG
rnacentral:rRNA from 1 species